rnacentral:lncRNA from 1 species
GUGACUGUGUUUUCGCUUUCGGUCUCUUUUUUGGGCUUGUGUACAGACUGCUGCCACGCCAGCUGACUAGGUCGCUCUGACAAGAAGGACCCAGCAGAUGAAGAUGACAGUGGGGUGUGUGAGAAUCCAGAUGGAAACGUCGACAUGCAAAGGCUUAAAGUGUGAAGAACCUUGAUUGAGAAGAAAUGUGAUCGAGCAGAGGAAUCAAUAACACAGCGAUUGGGAAGGGGCAAGGCCACUUGUAGGGAGCGGAUGAAGUCCCGAGUGAAUGUGUGUCACUGACAUGAGUCUGGCCAUGUAAAGGACCCAAUAUCUCAAACCCACGGGAAUGGCAAGCUCCCCCUUAUCUAUCCAUGCUGGAAUUGUUGACUGGCUCGCUCUUGUUCAGGCAACCACAGCUCCAAGUGAGGCAAUGAGUGCCCCUCAGUCCUGUCAUGGCCAGAAGACACUGUUUUUUUCCCUGCUCCUCCCCAGGGUUUCUGCCUCCUCUUCUGAAAUGUUCCUUGGGCCUUGGAGAAAGGAGGUAUACGGCCGAUGUCCUGUUUAUGGCUGAGCACUCCACAGACACGUGUGCUCGGCACGUUGACCAGCCCUGAGUCUUUGUAUUAACUGCUGUCCACUGCACAGCGGUGCUUCUCUGGUGAAGUCUAAAAGUGUGCUUAUCUAGGGAUAUAGCAAUGCAUGUUUAGAAGGCAGCUUGGUACUACGAUCAUUAUGAAAAUAAUAGUAGUAGGGUCCGCACCAGGGACUACAGGAUUCCCCAGUUACAGGUUCUUGGCUACAUUUACAGUACCAGGCAAGAGUUUCCUCCUGUGGUGUGGGCCUUAAAUCCGAUCAGAAAGUGGUUGGUUAUCCCCAUAAUAUUCAUUCCAUUAUUUCACUCAUGCACUUGUAUUUCCAGAUUGCAGCUCACAGGGUUCACACCAUGAAAGAGUGUUGAUGACUUUGCUCCUCCUGCGUAGGACUUGCUGCUACUAGGCAAGCUAGCCAUCAAGAGGCAGCAUCUGUAUCAGUAUCCACUUGAUUUCUCCAAGUAUUGUGACCAAAGUGUGUGAUGUACCCACAGUUCUAGUGGGCAAUUAAUGGCAAGGCCAAGGCCUGCAUUGUUUUGCAGGUCUCUGGGGCAUCUUCCUUGCCAGCCUGGCACUAGGCUUUGUAUUUGGCAACAUAUGGCUUCUGAGAGGACAUUAUUCCUCAUGUAGGGUAACUUCAAUUUGAGCUC